rnacentral:lncRNA from 1 species
CCCCCCACUUGCCCACUUGCCCACUUGCGCCGAACACCACCAUGCCACUGUCGGCCAUGGCCACCUGCAAGAAGCCAAGUAGAAAUAAACAAAUAGAAAAUAAACAUUUGUAAUCGGUUAUAAAAACCGAAAAUCUCACCAAUGAAAAGGGGGGAUUUUUUUAUUUUUUGCUAUGAAAACAAAAGAUUUUCUUUCAAUAUUAACAGAUUCAAUACAAGAACCAUUCGAAAAUAUAUAUACUAUCAGGGGCUCUAACACCAAAUCGGAGAAUCAAAUCUAAAACCUAAGGUGACUCUUUUUUUUUUUUUUCUUUACUGUUUUGAGUUUAUUUUCUACAUAAAAAUACUAAAAAAUAUUAAAACAUAAAAAUAUAUGCAUUAUUAAGCAAAAAAAAGAAAAAAAGAAAAAAAAUAUUUUUUUUACCUUUUCCGGCCACCGCGUGCGGUGGCCGGCGCCGGCGCCGGCGAGCCUCCGGUGGCCGUCCGGUGACCGGCCCCCCUGGCCGGAUUCCCCUUUCCCCCUCCCUUCUCUCUCCCUUCUCUCUUCCCUCUCUCUCUUUUUUUUUU